rnacentral:rRNA from 1 species
AUUGAACGCUGGCGGCCGGCUUAACACAUGCAAGUCGAGCGGGGGAAGGUAGCUUGCUACCGGCCCUAGCGGCGGACGGGUGAGUAAUGGUUAGGAAUCUGCCUAUUAGUGGGGGACAACAUAUCGAAAGGGAUGCUAAUACCGCAUACGUCAGACGGGAGAAAGCAGGGGCUCUUCGGACCUUGCGCUACUAGAUGCGCCUAAGUCGGCUUAGCUAGUUGGUGGGGUAAAGGCCUACCAAGGCGACUAUCUGUAGCGGGUCUGAGAGGAUGAUCCGCCACACUGGGACUGAGACACGGCCCAGACUCCGACGGGAGGCAGCAGUGGGGAAUAUUGGACAAUGGGGGGAACCCUGAUCCAGCCAUGCCGCGUGUGUGAAGAAGGCCUUAUGGUUGUAAAGCACUUUAAGCGAGGAGGAGGCUACUCUAGUUAAUACCUAGGGAUAGUGGACGUUACUCGCAGAAUAAGCACCGGCUAACUCUGUGCCAGCAGCCGCAGUAACAC